UAGAAAGCCUAAAGCUCUACUCAGUCUGAACAAUAUCUGAGGUUGGAAAUUAAGUCCAUAUAAAGGAAACUGCUAGAAAUUAAGAAGAGAAAGAUUGAGAUUUUCACUUUGAAUAUGCAGAUCUAAUUUGUAUAACUGUGUUUAGAGGUGGUUGUUGUUUUUUUAAAAUACCUGAAAUGCUGCUUACAUUUUCAAGUUAGCUGUUAAAUGUAUCUUCAAAUGUGAAUAUGUGUAUAUACAAAAUCUCCUGUAUAGAAUCUUUGCAGUUAUUCUCUUCGGAAGACUAUUCAUUUAGGAUUCUUGUAGUUUAGGUCCUCCUACCCCUACCCCACCCCGAAAUAUCUCAACCACUCUUAGGACACUCAAAGAGGAAGGAAACCUCUUGCCCAAGCCACAUUUACCAAUUUCUAUCUACUUCCUUUGCGUGUGUUUGAUAACUUGCCACAUGCAUAGCCUAUGAGUGACUUCAGACUCCAGUUGCAAUAAGUAACUAUCCAUGGACUCCUUCUAAAUAUUAAGGACCCAUACAUACAAGGUGGAAGAUAUAAAGCCAAAGAUACAUCCCUGACAGAGAUAGUCCAAUUUUUGUAUGAUUAGGGUUUUGUAGAUACUUUAGGAAUCAUUGCAACUCAAGUCUGGAGGAACCCAGAGUUAGCUAAUGUGUACCUCAAUCUGUCCCCUCAGUGGGAGUCAACUUUAUGAACUGCAAGAACUUUCAAAACAGAAGUGUGCUUUUCAAGUGCCUCUUUCUUGCUAAAUUGUUUUAUGACUUUGAAAUUAGUGAUUGUAAUUAAUGAAAUUAUAAUUAACUGUCUCAUAUAUCUGAGCACAGGCUGUAUGGGUUCUUUUCUAAACCCAUUUUAGAAUCACAGUGAGUAACAACUAAGACGCAGCCCUUUCUAUUUUAGAUUGGCAUAUAAUUCAUACUUUUUCCAGUAUUGUUUUUCUUAUUUACUUGAAGUUUUUCUGCAAGAAAAUUCUUUUUUAUAGUGGAGGAUUAAUUUUAAGAAUUAGUUAAACAUAGUCCAUACAGAGAAAUUAAAUCAAAAUUUCUUUGGGAUGAUAUCAUUCAAAUAUGGAGAAAUUUCUGGAAAAAAAUUUGGUCCAUUUCCUAUGACAAAUCUCGAAAAAAAUUUUAUCCUUUAGAGUUUAAUAUGUGAUUGAAAUAAUUCAUCUGCUGUGAGGGAGAAUUCUAGAUGUAGCAGAGAAUCCCCUAAUAUUUGCGGAGAACAAAAAUUCUGGUCAAUGUAAAGAAGAUAGCUAAAUUUCUGAGAACUAGGCUCAGUGAGUUCAUAGCAUGGCUUUUUGAAGUCAAUGUAACUAACAGAAGAUUAUAUUUCACUUAGAAACAGGAAAGUAAUUUUAUUAUAGGAACAUACAGAGAAUAUUCAAUGUGGUUUGUGUCAGGCUCUAGGUUCAUAGUCCAAUCCAGCUCUAAAAUUUGCUUAGAAUAUAAUCUUGUGAAAAUUACUUAACCUCUCUAAGCUGAAAGGUCUUUAUAAAUCUGGCAUCGUAACAGUUCUUAUCUCCUAAUGUUGUUGUAAACAGCAAAGGAGACAAAUCACGUAACAGGUUGAGUGUGAGGCCUGGCAUGGAGAAUGUGCUCAAAAUGUUAUUCUAACUCUUGGUCAGAGGCAAAGGGAACUAACAUUUUUCCAAAGAAACCACUCCAGAAAUAGCUUUGAGAGAAAAAAUAUGAUGGGUAGAGAGAACUUGAGCUGACUCAUAUAAAACAUUUCACAGAAAUCAUCCCUGGCCCAGCAGACAGGGAAGCAGCGAGUCAAUGAAUCACUUGGGAGGAGAUAGACAGCCAUUACUUGCAGCGUGUUGCUAUGACGACCUGGUUCUGUGUGGAGACUGAGGCCACGGGUGGGGUCCAUAGCCCAGUGCAGAUCACGCUGCUGGGGAGAAUGUAAGUGUAGUACGUGUGCUGGAGUUGAGGGAGAUGGUGGAUGAUAAAAUAGGAUGGUGGUGAAGACAGGUUAGGAAAUCUGUCAAGGCUGCCCUGGUGAGGUGGAUAGGAAGAGACAACUGAAUUCCUUCAGAUGUUCGGGGACUAAAGACUUCUAGCAAACAUAAGUGUUGACAGUCGCUGAUGGAGCAAUCAGUGCCUCAUUCCCUCCCUGGUGAGCUUGGAGUAAAAUAAGUGGACUAAAAUAUUGACAUCGUUUUAUCCUUUGUGAGAGGUAUCAAAACGCAUUAAUGAAGUAGGCUGCAGACAGAAAGAAGAGGAAGAGUACAUGUCUGGAGGAAAGAACCAUUAAUUAUAUCUCAGCCUAAAGAAUUGAAUGCUCUCUAUCUGUGAACUUCUCUAUAGCUAACUGAGGUGCUUCUCUUCUAUCAGGAUCAGUGCAAAUAACGAGAGUGAACAUUUAUGUAAGUGUUCACUAUGUGCCAGGCUUUGUUCUGGCUCUUUAUAUAUAUACAUAUAUAUAUAUAUAAACUCAUUUACACUGAUUAACCCAUUUUACAGAUGGGGAAAGUAAGGCACUUAGAAGGUAGGUAACUUGCUCAACAUUACCUGGCUAGUCAGUGGCGGAGUCUGGGUUUAAACCCUGGCUAUCUGGCUCCAGAGUCUUCAUUCCUAAGCACUAUGCUAGACUGAACAGUUACCAAGACUACCGAGCAAGACUGUACAUUCCAUCAUGUAGCCUGGGCACCCAUAAGACAUUCUCCUGUGAGUGAGCAAGAGAUGAUCUUUGCUUAUUAUUGGCAUCCCACAGAAGUCUGCAGACAGAAGAGAGCUGGCUUCAGCAGUUCUGAUUCCAGUGAAUCUCCCAAGAACAACAGAGCAGUGUCUGGAGUUGUGGUUUAUCUUUAAACCAAAAAAUUGUGAAAUCGAGGUUCAUUGUUUCUGAGAACUGUACAGAAUCUGUUAUGUCUUCAUGUGAUCAGCAGUGAUGUGUGUUACAAACACAAACAUCUGUUUACCCUUUACUUAUUAGAGAGGAUGCAAAGUCUUUAAAAGGAUAAAAAAGAUGAAAGUCCUGUCAAGAGCUGUGCACACUCAUAACUGACAGGUCACGAGGAAUGGAGGUGGCACUUCCAAGAGAUGGAGGCUGCAAUAAGGAUGAGAAGCAACAUCCUGAAAGGUCGGAGGAAGAAUCUGAAUGCCCACAUGGGAGCUAAGCUCUCUCCAGAAGGAGUGUCGGGGGAUAAGAAGAAGCAUUUCUUGAGUACUCAAUAUUUGCCAGCAAUGUGAAGAACUGGUGCCAUCUCUUUCAUCUGGACAGCAGCAACCCUCCUACUGGAUCUCCACAAGUACUCUUACCUCCCUUCAAUUUAUUCUAGAAGCCAGAGUUCUAAAAGGGCCAGCCUGAGCAACAUGAGCAAUUUCCCUGCUCACACUCUUGAAAGAUCUCUUGCUGCUCUUAGGGACGUCAUUGAAACUCUUCCCAUGCUCACGACAUGCUACACUUGCAGGUCCCUGCAUGCCUGGAAGCCUCACGCUUGGCCUCAGCCACAUUGGUCUCCUUUCAGUUCUGACAAAGAUUCUCUCUUUGACCCAACUCUAGCCUUCUCAUCUAGGCCUCAAACUUGGCCUAUAAAAUCUAUAGACUCUUGAGGCCAGCCUAUGGCCUAGUGGUUAAGUUUGGUGCAGUCUGCUUUGGCGGCCCAGGUUCGGUUCCUGGGUGGAGACCUACACCACUUGUCAAUGGCCAUGCUGUGGGGGCAACCCACCUACAAAAUAGGGGAAGAUUGGCACAGAUGUUAGCUCAGGGUUAAUCUUCCUUAGCAAAACAAAACAAAACUAUAGGCUCUCAGCACAAAUGAUUUCAUCCACUCACCCUCCACCCAUUAAAAGACUUAAACACUAACAUAGUUUCUAACAGCUCAAGGCCACAUCCCUAAGAUGAUCCUAGCCCCCCUUAACAGUAUCUGCCUGAGAAAGUUCAAGGCUGCCAAAAGCAUUUACUGUUUGUUCCAGCCACCGUCUGAGGAUGGCCCCUGACCACCCUUUCUUAGAUCACUUCCUACAAAGGCUUACAACGGCGAGUCCUCUGAGUCCUUUUGAGAUGUAUAUGUAUCUCCUACAACUCAGGAGUGUCUUUCUCAGGGAUGUGAAAGCCAUACCUUUGAAAUGUAAUCAUCAUGAAAGCUUGUCCCCCAGUCUCUGUGGGAGGAAGACUCUUAACUUCCAUCACCGCCAGCUAACAGACGCAGCUGGCCUCAGCACAUCAACGCUGACCAUCCCUUAUAAUUGCUCACAUCCUGACUCUGCUCGAGCCCCUGUGGGUCCCCCUCCCUGCUCCCUGAUUCUCCCUUUAAAAUGCCCAGUCAUCUCUGGACAGGCUGAAGUGGAUCCUCUUUCCCUGCUGCACUUGUAUACUCCUGAUAAAAAUCUGUCCCGACCACUUUCACCAGUGUCAGUUCCUCAGACACAACUUCCUCUAGUGAAACCUCCAGCUUCCUUGACACCUUGUUGGGUCUUCCUCAAGGAUGCCUUUCCAGACACACAGAAGAGCUUGGUCCUUCCACUUCAUGUCUUCAGAGCACCCCACAAUACUCCUUAACCCAGCUCUAAUUAAAUUUGUACUGUGAGAUAAAUUAACUAACAUCUAUCUCCACCAUGAAGACAAGGAAAACUGAGGCUAAAACAGGUAUAUUUCCACGGCCUACAUCUCUAAAACGUAUUUGAAUGACUGAGCGAAUGGAUAAAUGAGUGAAGGUUGAAUAAAUAUGCAACUAAUAGGAUACUAAUAGCUUGAGGAAGCACCACAGAAAAGCAGAACAAAACAACAAACUGUUUAACUGUGUUUAAUAUGGCAUUUCCUACAUUUAUUAGAACACAGGUUUCUUUAUUUGUGAAAAUCUACCAACAUUUGUGGCAGAGACAGCCAUGUGGUGAUAAAUGGCAAGCAAUAGGACAUACUGGAGUAUAUGAGGAAGCCAUUUGGUGUAAGCCUGAUUCGGCCUGACCUUGUUUUUCCAAAAGGCCCUGACAUGGCUGUUGAGCAUGCACUGUAUAUCUGCUUUAAGCAUUUGCUAUGUCCCAAAGACAAGAACAAAUGGCCUUAGGAUAGAGGUGCAACUUCCUCUACACUGGCAGUUCCUUAAGGAUAAGCAUCUCUCCCUAGACCAGGAAUUGACUGCUGUGCUCACCUGUGACCACCCAGCUCGAGACAACAGAUCUGCCACCCUGCU